AAUUAACGAUUUAAGUCGUUCUUAAAUGAGGCCAUUUACCCAUAGAGGGUGCCAGGCCCGUAUAACGUUAAUGAUUACUAGAUGGUGUUUCCAAAGAGUCGUGUUGCUUGAUAGUGCAGCACUAAGUGGGUGGUAAACUCCAUCUAAAACUAAAUAUAACCAUGAGACCGAUAGUAAACAAGUACCGUGAGGGAAAGUUGAAAAGAACUCUGAAUAGAGAGUUAAAUAGUACGUGAAACUGCUUAGAGGUUAAGCCCGAUGAACCUGAAUAUCCAUUAUGGAAACUUCAUCAUUAGAGUUUUAAUAUAUUAAUAAUAUUAUAAUAAUAGUGUGCAUUUUUUCCAUAUAAGGACAUAGUAAUCUAUUAACAUAAACCAAAUUUAUCAUAAAAUAUGACUUAUAGUUUAUUUAAAUUAUUUUGCUUGCAUUUUAACAUAGAAUAAAUGUCAUUAAUUUGAUAAAGUGUCGAUAGAUUUAUAUGAAUACAGUGCGUUAAUUUUUCGGAAUUAUAUAAUAGCAUGAUUAUCAUUGAUUUUCUGUGAUGAUUAUAUGCACUUGUAUGAUUAACAAUGCGAAAGAUUCAGGAUGCCUUCGGGACCCGUCUUGAAACACGGACCAAGGAGUCUAACAUAUGUGCAAGUUAUUGGGAUAUAAACCUAAUAGCAUAAUUAACUUGACUAAUAAUGGGAUUAGUCUUUUAACUAUGUAUAGAUAAUUAACACAAUCCCGGGGCGUUCUAUAUAGUUAUGUAUAAUGAUAUUUAUAUUAUUUAUACCUCUAACUGGAACGUACCUUGAGCAUAUAUGCUGUGACCCGAAAGAUGGUGAACUAUACUUGAUCAGGUUGAAGUCAGGGGAAAUCCAUUGUCAGAAUUGAGUAUUGGGGCGAAAGACCAAUCGAACCAUCUAGUAGCUGGUUCCUUCCGAAGUUUCCCUCAGGAUAGCCGGUGCAUUUAAAUGUUAUAUAAAAUAAUCUUAUCUGGUAAAGCGAAUGAUUAUUUAGAUUAUUUAGUGAGGUCUCUGGACGUGAUCACUGUGACGCCUUGCGUGUUACGGUUGUUUCGCAAAAGUUGACCGAACUUGAUUAUUUAGAGGAAGUAAAAGUCGUAACAAGGUUUCCGUAGGUGAACCUGCGGAAGGAUCAUUAUUGUAUUUUCCAACCGUUGUUAAAAUAAAUAAAUACCAAAUUAAUAUAAAGAUAUAUAAAAUGAAAAUGAAAUUGAAGAUGAGAGCAUAAAAUGAAAAUGAAAUUGAUUAUUAUUAUUAUUAAAUCUGAUCAGGGGAAGUUGAUUUAAUACAAUAUUUGAUUUGAAAAAUUUAAUUAAAUUAAAUUUAAAUAAAGUAAAAUGAGUAUAAAUAUAUAACAAUCGACGGUAGAAUCUUUAUUUCUCUGCGUGUAUAUGUACCAUACUAUACAGGCGUUGCGUAAUGUAUUGGCCAUUGUUGGUUUGGGCAUACAUUGGUUAAAUCAACAUCCCAAAUGUACAAUGUUGUACCUGCAUUUAAGGUUAACGUUUUACAUAAAUUGAUAGUCAAGUCCAGUAUUCAAUCACUUAUGUUAACUAAGACAUUUCGCAGCAUUCGUUUGGGUUAAGAUUUUAUUGAAGGAAUUGAUAUAUGCCAGUAAAUUGGUGUAUUUUUAAUUUCUUUCAAUAAAAAUAUUAUUGACGUAAUGAAAUAAACAAACAAUUUAAUAAUCACUCUAAGUGGUGGAUCACUCGGCUCAUGGGUCGAUGAAGAACGCAGCAAACUGUGCGUCAUCGUGUGAACUGCAGGACACAUGAACAUCGACAUUUUGAACGCAUAUCGCAGUCCAUGCUGUUAUGGUACUUUAAUUAAUUUUAGAGUGCUGCUUGGACUACAUAUGGUUGAGGGUUGUAAGACUAUGCUAAAUAA
rnacentral:ncRNA from 1 species